rnacentral:rRNA from 1 species
AGCAGCAGCCACGGGAAUACGUAGGGUGCAAGCGUUAAUCGGAAUUACUGGGCGUAAAGCGUGCGCAGGCGGUUAUAUAAGUCAGAUGUGAAAUCCCCGGGCUCAACCUGGGAACUGCAUUUGAGACUGUAUGGCUAGAGUGUGUCAGAGGGGGGUAGAAUUCCACGUGUAGCAGUGAAAUGCGUAGAUAUGUGGAGGAAUACCGAUGGCGAAGGCAGCCCCCUGGGAUAACACUGACGCUCAUGCACGAAAGCGUGGGGAGCAAACAGGAUUAGAUACCCCCGUAGUCCCUGUCUCUUAUAC